CCUACGGGAGGCAGCAGUAAGGAAUAUUGGUCAAUGGGCGCAAGCCUGAACCAGCCAUGCCGCGUGCAGGAAGACGGCCCUAUGGGUUGUAAACUGCUUUUGAACAAGAGAAAACCUCGGUACGUGUACCGAGCUGAUAGUAUUGUUAGAAUAAGCAUCGGCUAACUUCGUGCCAGCAGCCGCGGUAAGACGAAGGAUGCAAGCGUUAUCCGGAUUCAUUGGGUUUAAAGGGUGCGUAGGCGGCCUGAUAAGUCAGUGGUGAAAUCUCGCAGCUUAACUGAGAAACUGCCAUUGAUACUGUCGGGCUUGAGUACAGAUGAUGUGGGCGGAAUAUGACAUGUAGUGGUGAAAUACUUAGAUAUGUCAUAGAACACCGAUUGCGAAGGCAGCUCACAAAACUGUAACUGACGCUGAGGCACGAAAGUGGNGGAGUACAACAGAUAGUAUACCUACGUAGUCGCACCGUAACGAUAGAUACUCGUUGUUGUGAUAUGACGUCG
rnacentral:rRNA from 1 species